AGGACGAACGCUGGCGGCGUGCUUAACACAUGCAAGUCGAACGGUGAUCUUUGGGGCUUGCCCUGGGGUGAUCAGUGGCGAACGGGUGAGUAACACGUGAGUAACCUGCCCCAGACUCUGGGAUAACUUCGGGAAACCGUAGCUAAUACCGGAUAUGACACGGAGACGCAUGUUUAUCGUGUGGAAAGUUUUUCGGUCUGGGAUGGACUCGCGGCCUAUCAGCUUGUUGGUGAGGUAAUGGCUCACCAAGGCGACGACGGGUAGCCGGCCUGAGAGGGCGAUCGGCCACACUGGGACUGAGACACGGCCCAGACUCCUACGGGAGGCAGCAGUGGGGAAUAUUGCACAAUGGGCGCAAGCCUGAUGCAGCGACGCCGCGUGAGGGAUGACGGCCUUUGGGUUGUAAACCUCUUUCAGCAGGGAAGAGCGCAAGUGACGGUACCUGCAGAAGAAGCACCGGCUAACUACGUGCCAGCAGCCGCGGUAA
rnacentral:rRNA from 1 species